AUGUCAGCAGGGCAUCUUUUGAUCAACUGCUUGUACCUCUCCCAAGCUUCAUAGAUGAACUCUCCCUCUUUCUGUCUAAAAGUUUGGACUUUCACCCUAAGCUU